UACAGAGACCUCAAGCGUUAUCCGGAAUCAUUGGGCGUAAAGCGUACCGAUAGGUGGUUUAACAAGUCAGAAGUGAAAUCUUCGAGCUCAACUCGAAAUCUGUCUUUUGAAACUGUUAAACUAGAAGGGCAAAGAGGAAGCUGGAACGAACGGUGUAGUAGUGAAAUGCGUUGAUAUCGUUCGGAACACCAAUGGCGUAGGCAGGCUUCUGGGUGCCACUUGACACUGCUAGGACGAAAGCGUGGGUAGCGAAUGGG
rnacentral:rRNA from 1 species